AUUGAACGCUGGCGGCAUGCCUUACACAUGCAAGUCGAACGGCAGCGCGGGAGCAAUCCUGGCGGCGAGUGGCGAACGGGUGAGUAAUAUAUCGGAACGUGCCCAGUAGUGGGGGAUAGCCCGGCGAAAGCCGGAUUAAUACCGCAUACGACCUGAGGGUGAAAGGGGGGGAUCGCAAGACCUCUCGCUAUUGGAGCGGCCGAUAUCAGAUUAGGUAGUUGGUGGGGUAAAGGCCUACCAAGCCUGCGAUCUGUAGUUGGUCUGAGAGGACGAACAGCCACACUGGGACUGAGACACGGCCCAGACUCCUACGGGAGGCAGCAGUGGGGAAUUUUGGACAAUGGGCGCAAGCCUGAUCCAGCAAUGCCGCGUGCAGGAAGAAGGCCUUCGGGUUGUAAACUGCUUUUGUCAGGGAAGAAAUCCUCUAGGCUAAUACCUUGGGGGGAUGACGGUACCUGAAGAAUAAGCACCGGCUAACUACGUGCCAGCCGCCGCCGUAA
rnacentral:rRNA from 1 species